CAAAUAGUCAACUUGCCGUUGGUUUGGUGUUUAGUCAGUUAGAGAGCGCGAUGUCAAAGGAGCCACUCAAAGUUGGAUAACUAGAGAAAUGUGUCACUAAAUAUAUGCUAAAUGCUAAAUUGGCAGAAAAAUGGGAGCAAGUUGAAUUGUAUCGCAAUUAUUUCAAUUGAAUA